rnacentral:rRNA from 1 species
GACGAACGCUGGCGGCGUGCUUAACACAUGCAAGUCGAACGGAAAGGCCCUGCUUUUGUGGGGUGCUCGAGUGGCGAACGGGUGAGUAACACGUGAGUAACCUGCCCUUGACUUUGGGAUAACUUCAGGAAACUGGGGCUAAUACCGGAUAGGAGCUCCUGCUGCAUGGUGGGGGUUGGAAAGUUUCGGCGGUUGGGGAUGGACUCGAGGCUUAUCAGCUUGUUGGUGGGGUAGUGGCUUACCAAGGCUGUGACGGGUAGCCGGCCUGAGAGGGUGACCGGCCACAUUGGGACUGAGAUACGGCCCAGACUCCUACGGGAGGCAGCAGUGGGGAAUAUUGCACAAUGGGCGGAAGCCUGAUGCAGCAACGCCGCGUGCGGGAUGACGGCCUUCGGGGUGUAAACCGCUGUCGCCUGUGACGAAGCGUGAGUGACGGUAAUGGGUAAAGAAGCACCGGCUAACUACGUG